rnacentral:rRNA from 1 species
GAUGAACGCUAGCGGCAGGCUUAACACAUGCAAGUCGAGGGGUAUUUAUCUUCGGAUAGAGAGACCGGCGCACGGGUGCGUAACGCGUAUGCAAUCUACCUUUUACAGAGGGAUAGCCCAGAGAAAUUUGGAUUAAUACCUCAUAGUAUAUAGACUCGGCAUCGAGAUUAUAUUAAAGUCACAACGGUAAAAGAUGAGCAUGCGUCCCAUUAGCUAGUUGGUAAGGUAACGGCUUACCAAGGCUACGAUGGGUAGGGGUCCUGAGAGGGAGAUCCCCCACACUGGUACUGAGACACGGACCAGACUCCUACGGGAGGCAGCAGUGAGGAAUAUUGGACAAUGAGCGCAAGCCUGAUCCAGCCAUGCCGCGUGCAGGAUGACGGUCCUAUGGAUUGUAAACUGCUUUUAUACGAGAAGAAACACUGCUACGUGUAGCAGCUUGACGGUAUCGUAAGAAUAAGGAUCGGCUAACUCCGUG